UGCGGGCGGAGUGCGGUCCCCGCGGGCUCCCGCUGUGGGCGUGCAACGUGGGAUUUGAUUGCCCGGGGUUUCAGCUGGACACCAUCCCGGUACCUGUAAAACCCAAGACGGAUACCAGCUGCGAGGCCGAGACUACUUGUAUUAAGUCCUGCGUCUGUAGGAAGCCACAGUCAUGCUGCAGGGAAAUGCCUGAGAGAAGAGAAGGGAGCUGGAGGGGCCAGUCACUGUCAGAGAGGGAAGACCCCAAGAGAGCAUAUCAAAGAGAGCAAAGGUAAAGUUCGUGUUGUGCCAGUGAAACCACCCAUUUCCCAUUCCUGAUUGAUUCCAGGUCACUCCCUAUUCAAAUCCAUUCUACUCUGCCAUGGCGGUGGUUUUUAUGGAAUACUUAGAUUAACAACCUCACCCAGGUCUUUUUAAAAAUCUUAAAUUGUUCCCACUUAUCUUCAAGAAAAGUUUCACCCUACUUAACAUAGCUUACAACAUUUCACAACCUUUUACAUUCUUGUAAAACUGCCUUUUUAGCCUCAUCUCCAACCAGCUAUAUCUUCCUUGAAUACACUAAGUUAUUAUCUUUGCCUCUGCUAUUGUGUUUAGAUUAUUCUCACUCCAAAACCUCCCCACUC